CAGAGGUCCCAAGCGUUGUUCGGAUUCACUGGGCGUAAAGGGUGCGCAGGUGGUGGGGUAAGUCGGAUGUGAAAUCUCCGAGCUCAACUCGGAAAUGGCAUUGGAAACUACCCUGCUAGAGGGUCGGAGGGGGGACUGGAAUGCUUGGUGUAGCAGUGAAAUGCGUAGAUAUCAAGCGGAACACCAGUGGCGAAGGCGAGUCCCUGGACGACUCCUGACACUGAGGCACGAAAGCUAGGGGAGCAAACAGGAUUAGAUACCCUGGUAGUCCUAGCCGUAAACGGUGCACGUUUGCUGUAAAAGGAAUCGACCCCUUUUGUGGCGUAGCCAACGCGUUAAACGUGCCGCCUGGGAAGUACGGUCGCAAGAUUA
rnacentral:rRNA from 1 species